GAACUAGGCAAAAUGGUACCGUAACUUCGGGAGAAGGUACGCUCUCGACGGUGAAGUCCCUCGCGGAUGGAGCUAUUGAGAGUCGCAGAUACCAGGUGGCUGCAACUGUUUAUUAAAAACACAGCACUGUGCAAAAUCGUAAGAUGACGUAUACGGUGUGACGCCUGCCCGGUGCCGGAAGGUUAAUUGAUGGGGUUAGACUUCGGUCGAAGCUCUUGAUCGAAGCCCCGGUAAACGGCGGCCGUAACUAUAACGGUCCUAAGGUAGCGAAAUUCCUUGUCGGGUAAGUUCCGACCUGCACGAAUGGCGUAAUGAUGGCCACGCUGUCUCCACCCGAGACUCAGUGAAAUUGAAAUCGCUGUGAAGAUGCAGUGUACCCGCGGCUAGACGGAAAGACCCCGUGAACCUUUACUACAGCUUGGCACUGAACAUUGACCCUACAUGUGUAGGAUAGGUGGGAGGCUUUGAAGCACGUACGCCAGUAUGUGUGGAGCCGUCCUUGAAAUACCACCCUUGUAGUGUUGAUGUUCUAACGUCGACCCCUUAUCGGGGUUGCGGACAGUGCCUGGUGGGUAGUUUGACUGGGGCGGUCUCCUCCCAAAGAGUAACGGAGGAGCACGAAGGUGGGCUAAUCACGGUUGGACAUCGUGAGGUUAGUGCAAUGGCAUAAGCCCGCUUGACUGCGAGAAUGACAAUUCGAGCAGGUGCGAAAGCAGGUCAUAGUGAUCCGGUGGUUCUGAAUGGAAGGGCCAUCGCUCAACGGAUAAAAGGUACUCCGGGGAUAACAGGCUGAUACCGCCCAAGAGUUCAUAUCGACGGCGGUGUUUGGCACCUCGAUGUCGGCUCAUCACAUCCUGGGGCUGAAGUCGGUCCCAAGGGUAUGGCUGUUCGCCAUUUAAAGUGGUACGCGAGCUGGGUUUAGAACGUCGUGAGACAGUUCGGUCCCUAUCUGCCGUGGGCGUUGGAAGAUUGAAGGGGGCUGCUCCUAGUACGAGAGGACCGGAGUGGACGAACCUCUGGUGUUCGGGUUGUGUCGCCAGACGCAUUGCCCGGUAGCUAAGUUCGGAAUCGAUAACCGCUGAAAGCAUCUAAGCGGGAAGCGAGCCCUGAGAUGAGUCUUCCCUGAUACUUUAAGUAUCCUAAAGGGUUGUCGGAGACUACGACGUUGAUAGGUCAGGUGUGUAAGUGCUGUGAGGCAUUGAGCUAACUGAUACUAAUUGCCCGUGAGGCUUAACCAU
rnacentral:rRNA from 1 species